UUUCUUAUAUAUCAGUGAUUCUCCUCAAACAUCGACAGCCGUUAAAUCCAUCAUUAUGGAUAAAAUUGGUGCAAACUGGUCACAUGGAUUCGGCAAACACUGAUGUCCAAGUUGGCAUAUUGGCUCCACCACGUGGGGGUUUCUUUGUUCAGCACAGCAUGUUCGGCUCCUACACCCUCUGCAUCUGACUGAAGACUCCACCUUCUCUCAGUCUGGCUCUUCCGCCUAACCUAUUCCUGCCUAGCUAUUGGCCAGUCAGGUGUGGCGAGUUCUUUAACCACCGAGCCAUCUCCCCAGCCCCACCCUUGACUCUCGGAUCUCUCCAGGAUACUGCAUGCUGACAGGUGCCAUGGGUCAAGUUCAAGGUGACUUUGGAAUCCACACUUGGAAGACCUUCGCCAGCCUGGGUCUCUGAAGGGAAGUGUGGAAUGGAGCUGUCCCCACCUGACCCUGACACAUAAGCAGAGCCACCUAUUUCCUGGCUCAGACGGGAGCGGCCAGGAGAACAAGGGUCCCAGAAGCCUGAUAGUCAUUCAAGCCACUCCAAGCCGGUGGCUCCCAGGUUUGGAUUCUGAGAUGGGCAUGGACAGUACAAAAGCAAAGCUUUACUGAAUUGGAAAGCAGCUUCCCACAAGGGAAUGGACUUGAAGGUGUGUUGCCAGCCCUGCGGGCCUCCUGGUUCUGUUUUCCGUCCUAAUUGGCUUGGGCCGUAUGUAAACUGUAAUUGAGUUUAGAGAUUUCUGUUUGGCUGAGUUGGAUGGGUGUGGGGUGAGGUAGGAGAAACAGACUGGAGGAGGGGAGUGGGGUUGACUAACAAGUCUCAAGAAGGAAGGAGGAACCGGAAAGUGAGGAAAGCAGGUGUCAGCAGCCAUUACUAUUACCUUGGUGAGUCAGAGCCUUUUAAAGUUCCCAGCUGGGUGAAAUGCACGGCUUUGGGGAUGAUUUUUU
rnacentral:lncRNA from 1 species